rnacentral:rRNA from 1 species
GAUGAACGCUGGCGGCGUGCCCAACACAUGCAAGUCGAGCGAUUUACUUCGGUAAAGAGCGGCGGACGGGUGAGUAACGCGUGGGUAACCUGCCCUGUACACACGGAUAACAUACCGAAAGGUAUGCUAAUACGAGAUAAUAUACUUUUAUUGCAUGGUAGAAGUAUCAAAGCUUUUGCGGUACAGGAUGGACCCGCGUCUGAUUAGAUAGUUGGUAAGGUAACGGCUUACCAAGGCGACGAUCAGUAGCCGACCUGAAAGGGUGAUCGGCCACAUUGGAACUUAGACACGGUCCAAACUCCUACGGGAGGCAGCAGUGGGGAAUAUUGCACAAUGGGCGAAAGCCUGAUGCAGCAACGCCGCGUGAGCGAUGAAGGCCUUCGGGUCGUAAAGCUCUGUCCUCAAGGAAGAUAAUGACGGUACUUGAGGAGGAAGCCCCGGCUAACUACGUGCCAGCCGCCGCCGUAA